GACUAGACGCUGGAACUAAUAGUGAUUGGCAAAGACGUGGUCGAGAGUCCCUUUAAACGUAAUUUCAUGGAGCUUACUUUGAUCCAUAACUCCAAGUCCAUACCAAGCGUGUCACGUUAUCCUCUCUAUUAUAGGAAAACCGAAGGGGUAAAGGGUUUAUUAGCAUGCCGCUGACUGAUGGAAAUUAAUAGUGGUUCCCCUUCCAAACUCCUUCCUAUCCUGAGGAUGUGCGCUUGACUGAAGGCCGGCAAUUAAGGGAAAAAUUGUUGGGGGACAGGAUUACCCCCAAGGUACGAGUGCCUUGCAAAUGAAAUCAGUUAUUAAUAGUUGCGAACAGAGCACUGAUUGAAGGGCCAAGUGAGAAGCUCCAUAAACAAUUAAGCCAAGGGGAGCCCCCACAAGGCCCUGAAUGCUCGUAGGCCAAGACCACGCACGUAGUGCGGGAAAUCAAACUGAAGUGCCGGGUGAUGGUGAAUCCUUAUCGGGCAAUGGGAGACCGAAGGAGAGGUAUUUCGAUAAGGGCAAGUCCAGGGCUGAGGACGUUUAUCGGCGAAACAAUUCCACUACCAAAUCUAAUCAGUCUUAAUUGAGCGUCACAUUAAACCCUGAAAACCCUAAAUCGUCAAGCAAACUGAAAAGAAAAACAGAUAAAAGACCAAAACCCAAGUAGCUUCCCCUAUCGCAGGCCUUGUUAUUAAUUAAGAUUAAGUCAGGGGAGGUCUGGCUUAGGGGUUAUCUUCGAGGAUAACCGCAGAACAGACUCCCUAAGGGACAUCUCGAAUCUAUCGCUCCUCGCUCGCUGAUUAAGUGGGCGCCCCACCGUUCCCGUCUAGACAGCACAGAACACAUCCCUGCUUCGACACUUCAUUUUUGAAUGCCACAAGUGGGUCUGGCCAGGAAUAGCUGGGAAAUUGAUGAGAAUUAAUGUCCGCGUGUGGCGUCAACGGUUUCCAUUUCUAGGGAAGGCGGCUGAUGUUGAUUGAGUGACUCUUGGGCCUCUGAUGAAAAUAUAUGGCAGCAUAAAUCUAUUGAUCAGCAUUCGCUCGCAGUUGUCGCGGCUCUUAAAUCAUUCCUCUCAUCUAAAAGCAAGAAACCAGUUGAAAUAACUUGCCAUCCACACUUCAAUCAAUUGGAAUGUUUUAAGUACGCCUAAAUGAACUCAAAUGGAUCUGUAAUGAUAGUUCAUUCCAGAGCGAACCAUUGGACUUUAUAUCUGAGGAGUGUACAGUGCUGGGAAAAUGUUACAAAAUGUUUGCGUCCAGAUCUUGGGUUUAGAUUAACUAAAACAAACAAACAUUCAUAACAACUCCUACUGUCACAAAGGAGCGUCGUUUUUACAAAAAUAAGCCUUUUGUCUUUUUUUAGAACAUAUUGGAAACUAUCAAUCAACAUAAGUUGAUACUGUUAAGUGCAACCUGAAUAAAUCCGUUUGUUAAAGAUUACAUUUUCAGUUGAGUUCCAGAGCCUCAAUCUUAUCUCACUUGAUUCCAAUCUAAUCAAAGGCUCCUUUAACUAAGAACCAAAAUAUCUGGAGGGAAUCACUCGUAGAUUGUUUACCACGGUGAGCUCAUGUUGUUUUCGACCGAACACUUUAGAGGCUUUAAGCACAGGCAGGCAUCAUCGACUGAGUUAUCACGACAUUGCGAUAUCUCACCUGCGCCGUAAACUGGCACAUCAAACGGUGUUGCUAGAGAGCCCAACUGUCACAACAGCAGAUGAGCCGUGCAGAUAGCUUCCUCGCCAGCUCCAGGAUGGCUCAAUCUGCGACGCAUAAAGUGCGGCAGUUUAUGAUUGGGCUUAUCGCGAGGGUCUACUAACCGAUUUAAUGAGGAUGCGCCGCGAGACAGGCACAUCGUAGUCUAGGUCCGCAUUGGUGGCAUUCGAACUGCAGCAGGAGGUGGACACCGACACGGAGGAGCUUGUCAUCUUGUCCAGCAUCUUCGGUUAUGUGAUCUGUGAUCCGCGAUCUGGGUUGACUUGAGCUGGAGCAGUCGCAGCUUAGCUCGACAUGUUGACGGCCACAAUCGAGAUGUUUUUAGAUAUAUUUAAUCCAGGACAAUAUAAAUAAAGUAUCUCGACGUGGGUUCGCGGAGUAUCUCGCCACUUUUAUCUCA